AACAAAUCCACUGGGAGGGGAACACAAUGGUUCUGGUCCCUGUAGAGCUUUCCACACCAAACUGUUAAGCAGGACCUGUCGACUUGCCGGUAGAACAGUGCCACAGAAACGUCUGCCCCUUUGGCUCCUUGCCACCUCCCAGGGCCCAGGACCUUCCCAACACAGGACUGUGGUGGCCCCCUAAACCUGGAAAACUCCUAUUCAUCCUUCAGGACCCAGCCAGUGCCUCCUUCUUACGCAGGCCUCAG